CCUACGGGUGGCAGCAGUGGGGAAUAUUGCGCAAUGGGCGAAAGCCUGACGCAGCGACGCCGCGUGAGGGAUGAAGGUCUUCGGAUCGUAAACCUCUGUCAGCAGGGAAGAACGGUCACUGUGCUAAUCAGCAGUGAAUUGACGGUACCUGCAAAGGAAGCACCGGCUAACUCCGUGCCAGCAGCCGCGGUAAUACGGAGGGUGCGAGCGUGAAUCGGAAUUACUGGGCGUAAAGCGCUCGUAGGCGGGAUGUCAAGUCAAGGGUGAAAUCCCCGCGCUCAACGUGGGAACUGCCUUUGAAACUGGCAAACUGGAGUGUGUGAGAGGAUAGUGGAAUUCCAGGUGUAGGAGUGAAAUGCGUAGAGAUCUGGAGGAACAUCAGUGGCGAAGGCGACUAUCUGGCACAUAACUGACGCUGAGGAGCGAAAGCGUGGGUAGCAAACAGGAUUAGAUACCCCUGUAGUC
rnacentral:rRNA from 1 species